rnacentral:lncRNA from 1 species
AUGGGGAUGCCACACACAAACUCAAGGAAGGGGAAUGCCUUUAUAAGACUUGAGUAUGGGAGAUGCCCUAAACAAAGUCACUGAAGGAAGAUGUCCUAAACAAACUAGAGAAAGGAAGAUGUCCUAAAUAAACUCCAAGAGGGUAUACCAUAAACCAACUCAAGGGGUAGGGAGACGUUAUAAAAAACUAAUGAAAGGGGGAUGUGUUAAUAACAGUGAUGGAAAGCAGUUGUCAUAGUAGACAAACUCCAAGAAAGGGGAUUCCCUAGACAAACUCAAUGAAGGGAGAUGUGCCAAAAAUAUAUAGAAAAUGGGAGGUGUUGAACAAACUACAGGAGGUGCAUGCCCUAUAAAACUUAAGAAAGUGGGGGUGCACUAAAUCAACUAUUGAAAGGGGGAUGCCCUAAACAAACUUAAGGAAAGGGGAUGCUCUACACAAAGUCCAAGAAAGGGAAUGAACUAAACAAUCUCCAUGAAGAGGGUUGACCUAAGAAACUCAAGAAAGGGAGAUGCCCUAAUGUAACUCAAGGGAGGGUGAUGCACUAAAGAAACUCAAGGAAUGGGGAUGCCCUAAACAAACUAAAGGAAUGGGAAUACCCUAAACAAAUUCAUGGAAUGACAAUACUUUAAACAAACUAAAGGAAAGGAGGGUGUCCAAAAGAAAAUCAAGGAAGGGAUUCCCC